GAGCGGGGAGCAAGGCCUGCGGGGAGGCGCAGGAUGGACGCGUUGGCUGUCAUGAUGUAGGACCUCCUGACCUAGAACCAUGCCCGGCGCAGGGAGAACAACGAGCUUACGGACCGGGUGCGGGGGCUGCUGUGCGAGAAAGCCUACCUGCUGGCCCGGGAGCGUUCGCCGGCCCACCUGGUGGCUUUCCCUGGACGUUUAACGGCGACUCCGCCCGGCCUCCCGACUUUUUGAUGCAGGCGUUCUCUUACAUGACUUUCUUCGAGGCUAGAUUCUCGAAAGACAUCCUGAAGGUGGCUUUCUUAAUUAGCUGCCUCACCGGCUGGCGGAGCAGUUCGUAGUCGCCUACAUCGAGAGGGAGAGCCCCGUCCUGGCUCAGUACUGGGGCUUCGUGGACGCGCUGUAGCGGGUCUUCGCCGUCGUGGGUAGGAAACAGUCGGGCCGGAUCCCCGGUGUCUGGGGAGCGGCUGCCGGCCGGGCCCGCGCGAGCCGCUUCACUCCUACAAGCCCGGCUCACUAGUUCCAAGCUGCUGGACUUUGACCCUCGCUGGGAAGCUUGAUCGCCGCCUGUUCUCGCCAAUCUCUAUGCCUUUGCACUGCCCAGCAACCCGGUCACUGCCCAGGACCUGUUAAAAGUUGAAUGGACCUCCCAGAAUCACGCCGCUGCCACCGCCGUUUCUAGAGACGGCUUUUGGCCACCUUUGAGAAUCAGGGUCAAACUUGGAAGGGCCUGCAUUUGUCACACUUCCUCGGACACUAAUUUGGAUAGUUCAGGCCCAGAGACGGCUUCCCGGGUUAGUGUGCCUGACAACACUGAAGAAAAAUUGUGACAUUUUCCUUCCCCAGAAUUACUUCGUUUUAUACAUUUCACUUCUCUUCUGAAAUCACAGCAAUGCCAGUUUGCGCCUUUUGGUCUGAGGAACGCAGGCCCUGGCCACUACCAGGAAAAAAUCCUUUGCACAUGGCCUGCUAUCAACAAUCCUCUACAAUGAUUCUCAGCAUCACCUAGGGAGCUUAUGUAAAAUCUCAAAUUCCUGGGCCCUAUCCCCAGAGUUUCUUAUCAAGUAAGUCUGCAUUGGGAUCUGAGGAUUUGCAUCUCUAACAAAAAUUCCUAGGCGAUGCUCACACUGUUGGUGUAAGGGUCCACUCACAAAUCGCAGCUGGUAUGGACUGGUACUGCCCCAAAUAAGAGGAACCUAAGAGCUUGGCUCCAAGACCCCCCACCAUCCCGGUGGGUUUGCUUGGCCUUUAGGAUGUGUGACUACAGCUUUUGGGUAGGUACAGGGCAAUCAAGAUUGAGGAAGAACACUUC
rnacentral:lncRNA from 1 species